UGGGGAAUUUUGGACAAUGGGCGCAAGCCUGAUCCAGCCAUGCCGCGUGAGUGAAGAAGGCCUUCGGGUUGUAAAGCUCUUUUGUCCGGGAGGAAAGCCUACGACUUAAUACGUUGUAGGGAUGACAGUACUGGAAGAAUAAGCACCGGCUAACUACGUGCCAGCAGCCGCGGUAAUACGUAGGGUGCAAGCGUUAAUCGGAAUUACUGGGCGUAAAGCGUGCGCAGGCGGUUUGAUAAGUCAGAUGUGAAAUCCCCGGGCUUAACCUGGGAACUGCGUUUGAAACUGUCAAGCUAGAGUACGUCAGAGGGGGGUGGAAUUCCACGUGUAGCAGUGAAAUGCGUAGAGAUGUGGAGGAACACCGAUGGCGAAGGCAGCCCCCUGGGAUGAUACUGACGCU
rnacentral:rRNA from 1 species